UACAGAGGUCCCAAGCGUUGUUCGGAUUCACUGGGCGUAAAGGGUGCGUAGGUGGUGAGGUAAGUCGGAUGUGAAAGCUCCGAGCUCAACUCGGAAAUGGCAUUGGAAACUACCUUGCUCGAGGGUUUGAGGGGGGACUGGAAUACUUGGUGUAGCAGUGGAAUGCGUAGAUAUCAAGUAGAACACCAGUGGCGAAGGCGAGUCCCUGGAAAACUCCUGACACUGAGGCACGAAAGCUAGGGGAGCAAACAGG
rnacentral:rRNA from 1 species